rnacentral:rRNA from 1 species
CAUGCAAGUCGAACGGAAAGGCCCUUUCGGGGGUGCUCGAGUGGCGAACGGGUGAGUAACACGUGGGUGAUCUGCCCUGCACUUUGGGAUAAGCCUGGGAAACUGGGUCUAAUACCGAAUAGGAUCAUGGCCUUCAUGGGUUGUGGUGGAAAGCUUUUGCGGUGUGGGAUGGGCCCGCGGCCUAUCAGCUUGUUGGUGGGGUAAUGGCCUACCAAGGCGACGACGGGUAGCCGGCCUGAGAGGGUGUCCGGCCACACUGGGACUGAGAUACGGCCCAGACUCCUACGGGAGGCAGCAGUGGGGAAUAUUGCACAAUGGGCGCAAGCCUGAUGCAGCGACGCCGCGUGAGGGAUGACGGCCUUCGGGUUGUAAACCUCUUUCAGCACCGACGAAGCGCAAGUGACGGUAGAUGCAGAAGAAGCACCGGCCAACUACGUGCCAGCAGCCGCGGUAAUACGUAGGGUGCGAGCGUUGUCCGGAAUUACUGGGCGUAAAGAGCUCGUAGGUGGUUUGUCGCGUUGUUCGUGAAAACUCACA